rnacentral:rRNA from 1 species
UACGUAGGGGGCUAGCGUUGUCCGGAAUCAUUGGGCGUAAAGCGCGUGUAGGCGGUCCGAUAAGUCUGCUGUGAAAGCCAGGGGCUCAACCCUUGGAUGCCGGUGGAUACUGUCGGGCUUGAGUACGGAAGAGGCGAGUGGAAUUCCUGGUGUAGCGGUGAAAUGCGCAGAUAUCAGGAGGAACACCAAUUGCGAAGGCAGCUCGCUGGGACGUUACUGACGCUGAGGAGCGAAAGCAUGGGGAGCGAACAGG